AUUGAACGCUGGCGGCAGGCCUAACACAUGCAAGUCGAACGAGUGGCGGACGGGUGAGUAAUGUCUGGGAAACUGCCUGAUGGAGGGGGAUAACUACUGGAAACGGUAGCUAAUACCGCAUACCAUCGGAUGUACCCAUAUGGGAUUAGCUAGUAGGUGGGGUAAAGGCUCACCUAGGCGACGAUCCCUAGCUGGUCUGAGAGGAGGACGAGCCACACUGGGACGUAGACACGGCCCAGACUCCGACGGGAGGCAGCAGUGGGUAAUAUUGCACAAUGGGCGCAAGCCUGAUGCAGCCAUGCCGCGUGUAUGAAGAAGGCUUUAGGGUUGUAAAGUACUUUCAGCGGGGAGGCGUUACCCGCAGAAGAAGCACCGGCUAACUCCGUGCCAGCAGCCGCGGUAAUUC
rnacentral:rRNA from 1 species